CAAUAGCGUAUAUUGAAGUUGCUGCAGUUAAAAAGCUCGUAGUUGGAUUUCGGGUGGGAAUGGCCGGUCCGCCGUUUCGGUGUGCACUUGCUACGCCCACCUUGCUGCCGGGGACGUGCUCUUGAGUUCACGCUCGGGACACGGAGUCGGCGAGGUUACUUUGAGUAAAUUAGAGUGUUCAAAGCAGGCCUACGCUCUGAAUACAUUAGCAUGGAAUAACACGAUAGGACUCUGGCCUAUCUUGUUGGUCUGUAGGACCGGAGUAAUGAUUAAGAGGGACAGUCGGGGGCAUUCGUAUUUCAUUGUCAGAGGUGAAAUUCUUGGAUUUAUGAAAGACGAACUACUGCGAAAGCAUUUGCCAAGGAUGUUUUCAUUAA
rnacentral:rRNA from 1 species